AUAACUCCGGGAAACCGGGGCUAAUACCGGAUAAUAUUUUGAACUGCAUGGUUCGAAAUUGAAAGGCGGCUUCGGCUGUCACUUAUGGAUGGACCCGCGUCGCAUUAGCUAGUUGGUGAGGUAACGGCUCACCAAGGCAACGAUGCGUAGCCGACCUGAGAGGGUGAUCGGCCACACUGGGACUGAGACACGGCCCAGACUCCUACGGGAGGCAGCAGUAGGGAAUCUUCCGCAAUGGACGAAAGUCUGACGGAGCAACGCCGCGUGAGUGAUGAAGGCUUUCGGGUCGUAAAACUCUGUUGUUAGGGAAGAACAAGUGCUAGUUGAAUAAGCUGGCACCUUGACGGUACCUAACCAGAAAGCCACGGCUAACUACGUGCCAGCAGCCGCGGUAAUACGUAGGUGGCAAGCGUUAUCCGGAAUUAUUGGGCGUAAAGCGCGCGCAGGUGGUUUCUUAAGUCUGAUGUG
rnacentral:rRNA from 2 species